rnacentral:rRNA from 1 species
UGGGGAAUAUUGGACAAUGGGGGCAACCCUGAUCCAGCCAUGCCGCGUGAGUGAUGAAGGCCUUCGGGUUGUAAAGCUCUUUUGGCGGGGACGAUGAUGACGGUACCCGCAGAAUAAGCCCCGGCUAACUUCGUGCCAGCAGCCGCGGUAAGACGAAGGGGGCUAGCGUUGUUCGGAAUUACUGGGCGUAAAGCGAGUGUAGGCGGUUGCCGUAGUCAGGUGUGAAAGCCUUGAGCUCAACUCAAGAAAUGCACUUGAUACUGGGUGACUAGAGGACCGGAGAGGAUAGUGGAAUUCCCAGUGUAGUGGUGAAAUACGUAGAGAUUGGGAAGAACACCAGUGGCGAAGGCGGCUAUCUGGACGGUUACUGACGCUAAGACUCGAAAGCGUGGGGAGCAAAACAGGAUUAGAUACCCUGGUAGUCCACGCCGUAAACGAUGGGUGCUAGACUUGGCGAGCUUGCUCGUCAGUGUCGCAGCUAACGCGUUAAGGCACCCCGCCUGGGGAGUACGGCCGCAAGGUUGAAACUCAAAUGAA